rnacentral:rRNA from 1 species
AUUGAACGCUGGCGGCAUGCCUUACACGUGCAAGUCGAACGGUAACAGGUCUUCGGAUGCUGACGAGUGGCGAACGGGUGAGUAAUGCAUCGGAACGUGCCCAGUUGUGGGGGAUAACUGCUCGAAAGAGCAGCUAAUACCGCAUACGACCUGAGGGUGAAAGCGGGGGAUCGCAAGACCUCGCGCAAUUGGAGCGGCCGAUGUCAGAUUAGGUAGUUGGUGGGGUAAAGGCCUACCAAGCCGACGAUCUGUAGUUGGUCUGAGAGGACGACCAGCCACACUGGGACUGAGACACGGCCCAGACUACUACGGGAGGCAGCAGUGGGGAAUUUUGGACAAUGGGCGCAAGCCUGAUCCAGCAAUGCCGCGUGCAGGAAGAAGGCCUUCGGGUUGUAAACUGCUUUUGUCAGGGAAGAAAUCCUCUGGGUUAAUACCCCGGGGGGAUGACGGUACCUGAAGAAUAAGCACCGGCUAACUACGUGCCAGCCGCCGCAGUAAAAC